UGACAUCAAAGUACAAGACUUGUCAUUUUUAGACUGACAUGAACUGUCAAAUAGAAAAAUUUAUCGGAGAAAAUUUUAACUUCAAAAUAUUGUCUUCUAUUUUGAAGGAUACUAACAUAAUGUUAAUAAAAUUAUGUCGUCAAUAACAUCAAAGAUUGUUCUAGGAUUAUCAUGUGUUUUAACAGCCGCCACGGUAACCUAUGUACAUGUAAAACAACAGGGACAAAAUGCAUGAAGGUGUUAUAAAAGAUGUAGAACGGCAGCAGAAAAGAAAAAUUGAAAAUCUUUAUUUAAUAGAAAAGCAAAAUGAAUUUGCAAAACAACUUAAAAGGGAUUUAGAAAAAUCAUAAACUAUGAGAUCAAUUGUUACUGUAAUACUAUUUAUUAUAAGUAAAUUAAUAAAAUUACAUUUGUUUUAAUUA